rnacentral:piRNA from 1 species
UUGGGGUAGGAGAGCUGAAUACUAAUGU